rnacentral:rRNA from 1 species
AUUGAACGCUGGCGGCAGGCCUAACACAUGCAAGUCGAACGAGUGGCGGACGGGUGAGUAAUGUCUGGGAAACUGCCUGAUGGAGGGGGAUAACUACUGGAAACGGUAGCUAAUACCGCAUACCAUCGGAUGUUCCCAGAUGGGAUUAGCUUGUUGGUGGGGUAACGGCUCACCAAGGCGACGAUCCCUAGCUGGUCUGAGAGGAUGACCAGCAAAACGGGAACUGAGACACGGUCCAGACUACUACGGGAGGCAGCAGUGGGGAAUAUUGCACAAUGGGCGCAAGCCUGAUGCAGCCAUGCCGCGUGUAUGAAGAAGGCCUUCGGGUUGUAAAGUACUUUCAGCGGGGAGGCGUUACCCGCAGAAGAAGCACCGGCUAACUCCGUGCCAGCAGCCGCGGUAAUAC